UCAUCACUGUGAGGAAAGGAGUUAUAAUAUUCUCAGAGCGGAAAUAAUUUAAUGCUGGGAAUACAUAAAGUAAUUCACUGAUAAAUUCUAUUGAGAGAUACUCUUAAAAUAAAUGUCUUAACAAAACCACCAAAGCCACCUUAGGAGAAGCUUUUCAAAUAAUUUAUCAAGACCACAUGGUUAUCAUUUUAAGACGGGUUAAAAUAUGUGCCAAAAGAAAUGACUUUUAAUACUAGAACAGACCCUGCUGGAGCAGUGAGUGGUUCUGCUUAACUGUGGAAAGAAAAAUACAAAAGCUCUGUCAGGCGUAGUCUUUCUAAACUAAAAGGAUUUAGGAAGUGGUAACUAUAGAUGAUAAGCAAAAAAUACAUUUUUUCCAUGAAAAAGCUAAAGGUGUUUAUUCUGAACACAAAGGGUUUCUCUCUUUUGGGGCAAAGAACAGGUUUUUCUUUUCCUGUUAGUGAUUGUUUUUCUUUCUCUUAUAUGUUCUUAUUGUCUGAAUAAGACAGCUUGCAUUGAUUUAUGGCUGGGUUCAUAAGACGCAUGUAUAUACACAAUGCAGGGCGCUUGCCAUCCAGAGGGGAAUACACAGAAAAAGGUUCAGGAGACUGUGUGUCUCUCUAGCAUCUCUCCCCUGUAGUGUUGGAAUGGCACUGCGAAGAUGUGAGGAUGUGCUCCCGGCCCGCCUGGCAGGGCAUCACCUCAAAGAGCUCAGGCUCCCAAGGACAGAGCCAGCGCGAGGCGGAGGAACAGGGUCUGCUUCCGUUUUGUGGAUGCACAGAAGCCUUUGUUAAGAGAUGAGUAUCAUUUCAAAUAUUCCGAGAAUGUGGCUGCUAGGCUGUUUAGUUCCAUGUCCCAACAUUUUUUCCUAAAAAGGGGUGGAGGCGGUGUAUUGCUCCAGAGUUGUGUGUAAAGUGUUCUUUUAACACCGGGGGCUAUACUUCCUGCUUCUGGCUGUGCUGGGAGCCAGCACGGAAGGGAGAAAACCCCUAAUCCGUCCCCAUGACACAAGUUCCUGAGAGGCCCGGAUGCCGGGUAACACGCAGGGGUUCUACAGGGCUUUGGGGGAGUAUCCGAGAGGUUAAGUCGCUGCUCUAAAUGUCUUUUCUGAUUUCUGCCAUAUCCCGAAGGAGUUAUUCCACUUUGUGUAAAAGAGAGUAAUUAUUGAAUAUCAUCAGGACUGGAUACAAUUGCUGCUCCUUUCAAUUCAACUGUCCUCUUGGAGCGCCCCCUUCAGGCCGGGCGAGAUGUCAGUGGAAGGUGGGAACGGGAAAGAGACGCACAGAUAAGAAAGCCAAGGUUCAGAUAAUUCAGUAAUUUUUCCAAGGUCACACGUUAAGACAGAAAUCCAGGAUUCAGGUCCAGUGUGAAGAAAAUCAUCAUUGGGACUUUCAACUAUAUGGCUCUACCUAACUGUACUCAGCCUGGGCAGCGAAGAAAAAAGUCUUUAGCAUAUGUUUAGUGCCCUGAGAUCUUCAGCUCCAGGCAAUAGUGUGCUGGUAAAUAUGGGGGAAAACAUAUGCAUAAUAUACCUACAGAAGUUUAUUAUAAAUUUUACUGAUAUAAAGGAUGGGUAGCAUCCUUUACAAUUUAUAAAUAAUAAUAAAAAUUUCAAUACUCUUGACUAUAAGUUUCAUAUUGUCAAUUGAUUCUCACAGAAUGCUUCUGUUGAUUUUUGCAGAGCUUGUGCAUUUGAGGCCAACCUAAUAGUUGCAACUGACAAAUCACUGUAGUUCCAACAUGGCUGCUGGGUAUUAUUUUGUUUACACUAAUGAGUAAGACAAAUGAAAUAAUGAAGACAUAUAUUGGAACUUUACUUGUUUGGCAAUGAUGUGAGGGACUUCUUUGCUGAAGUGCAUAGUAGUUUUUGAAUACUGGAAGAAUAUUUCCUCAUUUUUCCCUCAACGUAAUGGCUACACACAUGACACAUUUUAAAGUUUAAUCUGCGUGACUAAAAAUUUCCCCAUCACUUUCUAAUGUCUAGACAAUCAAUAAAAUGAUAAAUCAAGUCUGGUUUUGUAGAUUUGCUGAUUUCUGUGGUGCAAACAUUCUCACCAUAGGCAAUUUCAAGUUACCAAAGUGACAUCUGAAUAUGGCAUUGGGAAGGGAUGUGCAUGGACACGCUGUUACAUAACAUCACCAUACACACAUAAACAGAUGUAAAUAACUGUAAAAGCACAGCUAAUGGUAAAAUGUAGUAAUAUAAUUAGGAAGGGAUGAGUUUUAGAUAAUUAUUACCUUAGUUUUUAAUGAAAUUUAUUUAAUCAUAAGUUUAUGUAAUCUGAUUUUUAAUAAUGGAUGUGUUUAACAACCAGCUGUCAAAAUUCUCCAAAAUGUAACAAUUGACCCUGGUAAGCUAGUAGAAGCUGGCUCCAGCAAACUGCUGCCCUACACAGGGAACUUCAUGGUUUUACAAGACUUGGUUCCUGAAUUUCAGCAGAAGUUGGCUUUUCAUAGAAAGUUAUCUUAAGUCACUCUCUACCUUCUUUAUAAGUACCAAGGAUAACUUUAGUUUUAAAACUUGGCUCAUGUAACUCUUGCUUUCUCAUGGGCAAACAAUAUUUGGGCGUUAGCCUUCAAUGAGCUUAUGAAAAACACUGAUGGUAUAAGUUAGCAUGAAUACUUAAAAGGAAGGAUAGCAAAUUGGAUUUGCUAAAUAGGAGCCUAAAUUCAAUGAAGUUCUCAAACAUAUAAGAGAAGAUGACUGAUUGGAAGCUUUAAGUCUGAAUGUCCUACGUGGAAAGAGGAAAUGAGAAUUCAUGGUUUGCAUUCUUAAACGUGGCUCCAAUUUAAAUUAUUGUUUCUCCUUUUACAUCCCUUUCAUUUCCA